AGUCAUGCUUCUUUCUCUUAAUAUCAGUUCAAUAAGAUAUCGAUGGCUUGCCUUCCACUUUGUCAGGGCUGGUUUAGAUUCAUCAUUAGCUCAGGUCUCCUAAGAUGUAUUUCCAUUAAACCCCCCUGGCAUUCUGAAGAAGCGCUUGCCCCCUCCACAUAGUGUUUGGUGGUUGACUCUUGCCAAGAACAUGAAGAAGUUAUGCAACAGCGGAGCAAGGAUGUUGUUCAGAUGCAACCUGCCAGGAGUGGAAACCAGUCUCGCAAGUAGACCGGCGUUGCUCACUCAGCCAUCUCUUUUCUUUGAUACCCACCCACUUUGGAGAGGCAGUAGAAGGGUACUUCAGACAGAUCUGUAUAGGCACUUGCACUUUUGCUUAUCUCAAUGAACUUCUGGAGACUACCAACUACCUGUAUAUACUGAACAUUGGAGGUACACAUUGAGGGAUUGUAUUGGGUCUUAUCUGAAAAACAUCUGAAACAGAUGAGGAAGGCAUCAGGGAAAGUGGAGACAUGCAUUGAGUACAAGCUUUCCUCCUCUGGAGAUCUUCAGAGUUGAUGUUGCUACUUGGCUCUGCUACAAGCAAAGAAUGGUCUCCAGCUGCGAGUGAGGUAUGUCCUCUUUUCCUGGGGUGAAAUAGUGGUGAAAGAGGAACCAGGUCUGGCAGGGGAGCUGGAUACAGAAGAAAUUGUCAAGGACAUGAAUCCAGAUCAGGCUGGGGAAGAAGAUCCAUCUUCUGAAGACGUUGUGCUGGUUUCUUUUGAGGACAAGGACUGCGGUCAGAGACACUGCCGGAGAAGACUAUCACUCCAUCAUCUUGGCUGGGCUCCCUCUGACUCCUGCAGUUCAUUUAGGAGUCUGCUCAUGAAAAAAGCAUUGCAUGGAGAUAUUUUUCUUAAACUGUGGCUAGACCAACGCGGGGAAGAUAAUCAAGCAGGCUGUUAUUUGCAGGCAGCUGUUUAAAGAGACUCUUGUGAUCAGCAUCCAGCCCUGCCUACAGGCCACUUACGCAUAUUCCACGUGGACAGGGACUUUCAGGGGAUAUUACAGGACUUUAUAAAGAGAAUGAAAGUACUAGACCAAGAAUGGUUCACUGCUGAUGGUGUAUAGAGAGACAGUAAGUCUGGCAACAUAGGUCAUUUUUAUAGAUGCCCAAGAAGAUGAUGAUCAUGUCCUUUAGCCUGGAAGCACUUGUGUAACUGAAGCAUUAAAAGGGAGUACUUCCAGCACUAGUUUGUACAGACAUUUUGCUUUUAAUGGAUCAGGUGUAUAUCGUGAUUCUGAACCUGUUCUAUUGAAGGUGCAUCAUUAUACAGUAUUUCUUGUGGCAUCUACCAACAUUUUAGAAGGGAAACAUACUGUAACGGCAAAACAAAGCAAAAAGUGAUGGCAAAGGACUUUUCAGUAGGGGAAAUAACUGAAAAAUACAACAUACUACUUCCUGUAGUGCUUCUGUUAAAAUAUGGUGAAGGAAGAAGCGCUGACUUGAGAACUGGGGCUUGGGGGGUCUAGAUUCAGUUCCAUGCUUCGCCGUACAAUCCUCGUGUGACCUUAAUGAAGGCUACAUCUACACUGCAAUCCAAGAGACUGAUCUCAACUCAUGCAGAUGCAUCUGAGCUACCAUUAAGGUAGCUUGCUCAGCUGCAGAGGGCAGUGCUGUUGGACCAGCGUGGAGCUCAGUGGUCUGAAUGUUUAUCCAGUUAUCUCAAAUUGGACCCAAGCUAUCUACCUGAUCCAGCCUUGAGCAGCAACCAGGCUGUCCAGGCAUACCCGGAGUCACUGAAUCUCACCAUGUGCAUUUUGCCAUUUGUACAAUGGUGAUGAUAUCAUUUGAUCUCUCAUCUUUUGCUUUUAUCAUCUACCUGGUUCUUUGGGUCAGGGACUAUCUCUUACAACGUGUGUGUGUGUGAGUGUGUGUGUGUGUUUGUAUGUGAUUAAGACAAUAAGGCACAGAGUUGGGGCCUCUAGAGACCACUAUAAUACUUAUAAUACACUAUUAUCCUCCAAAAAAAUGUUUUUGGAAGCCAUUUCAGUCAAAAAUGUUUAACUAUAAAGUACUUCUUCUGUCAUUUCAACGAGCAGAUGUACUGUAACUGCUCAAAAUAUAAGGUUUGACAAUAAUUAUAAUUAGCCACUUUUGCUUGAAUAGACCUUGUAAUUUGUCUGAUUUAAGUGCUUUUUCCACCCAAAAGGCUCCUCUGUGAAUUAAUGUGCAUAGAAAAUAAAAAUACCUAG